GCACCCGUAGCUCAGCUGGAUAGAGUAUCGGCCUCCGAAGCCGAGGGUCGCGCGUUCGAAUCGCGCCGGGUGCACCA
rnacentral:tRNA from 1 species